rnacentral:rRNA from 1 species
GCGUUAAUCGGAAUUACUGGGCGUAAAGGGUGCGUAGGCGGUUCGUUAAGUCUGUCGUGAAAUCCCCGGGCUCAACCUGGGAAUGGCGAUGGAUACUGGCGAGCUAGAGUGUGUCAGAGGAUGGUGGAAUUUCCGGUGUAGCGGUGAAAUGCGUAGAGAUCGGAAGGAACAUCAGUGGCGAAGGCGGCCAUCUGGGACAACACUGACGCUGAAGCACGAAAGCGUG